rnacentral:rRNA from 1 species
AGUGAACGCUGGCGGCGGGCCUAAUACAUGCAAGUCGAGCGAACAGACGAUAAGCUUUCUCCUCUAACGUUAGCGGCUGACGGGUGAGUAACACGUACAUAACCUACCUAUAUUACUUGGAGAACUUCGUAGAACCAGAUCUAAUACUAGAUAAUAUAUUGUACCGCUUGGUUCAAUAGUUAAACGCAGCUUUGCUGUCUCAUUUAGAUGAAGUCGGGCCGCAUUAGCUAGUUGGUAAGGUAACGGCUCACCAAGGCAACGAUGCGUAGCCGACCUGAGAGGGUGAUCGGCCACACUGGAACUGAGACACGGUCCAGACUCCUACGGGAGGCAGCAGUGGGGAAUAUUCGGCAAUGGGCGAAAGCCUGACCGAGCAAUGCCGCGUGAGUGAAGAAGGUCUUCGGAUUGUAAAGCUCUGUUGUUAGGAAAGAAAAACAGUAUAAUAAAAUAUCGCCGUCUUGACGGUACCUAAUCAGAAAGCAACGGCUAACUACGUG